rnacentral:rRNA from 1 species
AACGAACGCUGGCGGCAGGCUUAACACAUGCAAGUCGAGCGCCCCGCAAGGGGAGCGGCAGACGGGUGAGUAACGCGUGGGAAUCUACCCAUCUCUACGGAAUAACGCAUGGAAACGUGUGCUAAUACCGUAUACGUCCUUCGGGAGAAAGAUUUAUCGGAGAUGGAUGAGCCCGCGUUGGAUUAGCCAGUUGGGGGGGUAAAGGCCUACCAAGGCGACGAUCCAUAGCUGGUCUGAGAGGAUGAUCAGCCACACUGGGACUGAGACACGGCCCAGACUCCUACGGGAGGCAGCAGUGGCGAAUAUUGGACAAUGGGCGCAAGCCUGAUCCAGCCAUGCCGCGUGAGUGAUGAAGGCCCUAGGGUUGUAAGGCUCUUUCACCGGUGAAGAUAAUGACGGUAACCGGAGAAGAAGCCCCGGCUAACUUCGUGCCAGCAGCCGCGGUAACAC